rnacentral:rRNA from 1 species
GUACAGCAGUCGAGAAACCUUCGCAAUGCGGGAAACCGCGACGAGGGGACUCCCAGUGCCUACGCUCAGCGUAGGCUGUUCCCGAGCCUAGAAAGCUCGGGGAGUAAGGGCUGGGUAAGACGGGUGCCAGCCGCCGCGGUAAUACCCGCAGCCCGAGUGGUGGCCACUAUUAUUGGGCCUAAAGCGUCCGUAGCCGGCCCGGUAAAUGCCUGGGUAAAUCGUGAGGCCUAACCUCACGAAUUCCGGGUAGACUGCCGGGCUAGGGACCGGAGGAGGGAGAGGGUACUCCAGGGGUAGGGGUGAAAUCCUGUAAUCCCUGGAGGACCACCGGUGGCGAAGGCGCUCUCCUAGGACGGGUCCGACGGUGAGGGACGAAAGCCAGGGGAGCGAACCGGAUUAGAUACCC